CCUCCCAAGAGCAGGGUUUGUCGGCACAGUGGCCUACACAGAAAGGUGACAUUUGAGAGAACAAUUGCUGGGCUGUUUUACCAUGCCUGCUGCUAUGAAUGAGGCUUAAGAAAAGGUGUCCUUGGCCUCAUGCUAAUAGUCAUCAUCUUCAUCGUGCCUGUGUGCGCUCUCUAGCUAACACAGCCUUAUGAAAUAGGGGCACACCGCUAAUAAACAAAGCACUAUAAAAGAUCAGAUUGUUGCACGCUCCAGCCUCAUUUCCUUGCUGCCGCCAGCAACCCGCUCGCCGUUCAUCACUCCUGCUUGCAGCGGCGAGGAGGCCUGGGGUCUGCUCUCCCCCCCACCUUGUCUCUGUGGGUGCUUUCUGCCUUGCACUUUUCCAGAGCAGAGAACAAACCAUGGGCAAGUUCAGCAAUAAAGGAAAUAAAGCUGGCUCUUUACUGGGGGCUUGGAUCUUGAGAACCGAUCCUCGAGCAAAAUGACACAAGCCAUGUGGUCUCUCUGAGCUAAGCUGCCCAUGGGGACAGGUGUAACUGCUGCCCAUGGCUCCUCUCUGGAGCGAAUGUGAUGCAGGUGCUGGGUUUGUUCGCUGCAUGGAGAUGACUUCCAAUGAAUUGGUUGCUGGCAGGGUGAGAAAAUGGUCCAUCCUGUUGUCUCAGAGAGAUGAAGUUGCUGCCGCCUGUGUAUGACUUCCAGGUACGAAGCUACAAUGGACUGAAAAGGAUGAAAAUGCACCAUGAGAAUUUGGAGUGGAUCCAUAUUAACAUCAUCAUCAUCAUCAUGAUACCUAACCGUCUCGUGGUUCUGGUCUUCUAGACGGCUCCUCUGAUGCAAGGGGCUCUUCUUAUCGCCUGCACCCUUUCCCCAACCUGCCUUGGGAUGAGUGAAAUGGGCAUCGCUUCUGGACUAAGGAGCUGGAAGAUGUAAAAGACAAAGAAGAAUGAGGCACUUGGUCUCCGGUGCUGGGCACUGAGAAGGAAAGCAGAGAUCUUCCAUGCAGCUUCAUGUCAACAUUUAGGGGGCUGGACUCGAUGAUCUUCCGAGGUCCCUUCCAGCCCUAAUGUCUAAAUGUCUAUGAAACAGGAUUGUAUUCUCCGCACCCAAUGCAAACCCCCGUCUAGGAUGCAGGAGAAGGAGACACUCAGCAUCACUGAGCCCUGCACGGCUGAAUCUGGAACGGGCUUGCAAGGGAGGUGGUGCUAGGAACCAGGCCUAGACUGCAAGCUUAAGUAGCCAAGCUUUGCGUGUUGGUGCUAGAGGCCCCAGGUAGGAGUGCAACAGGGAAGUCACAAGAGCUGUAAAUAAAUGCCAGCAGAAAAUCUCCUCCUGACAUUGCUCUUGGUAAUUUCAAUGACCCUUAAAAGCAGGAAGACUCCAGAGCCCUUGCAGCAGGGUGGGACAUCCCGCUGACGUCACCAGGUUCUCACACCGGGGCGCUAUUCUUCACGUCCCGUCAACCAAACCAUGAAAGACUGGGUGGUUUCCUGUUUGAGUUGAGCAAAGCAAACAAGGGAGUAGCAGAGGCUAAGACCAGGGCUCCGCCGUGCAACACAGGGAUGAGUUCAGGCUUUGCAAAAAAAAAACCAAACCCACAACCCAUCACACGUCUCCCUCUAUCUGCAAUUUUUGCAUUUUCUUUUGGGGGUUCAUCAACUGCAAUCUUAUGGUUCAAGUCAGGCUUGGGUUUCAGGACUCCUGGGUCCCUUCGCCAGUUCUGCCACUGACUUAAGUGAUGGCACUUAGCUUCAGUGCUCUUCCAGCUGGAUAAAAUGGGUAUAUUAAGCUGGAUAAAAUGGGUAUAUUAAUGCUUGCUUACCUCUCUGAGGGGUUGUCAUGCUCGGCUCAGAUAAUUAAGGCUGGAUUGUGGCUGAUCAAUAGGUAGGAGAGGGAGGCCGAAGAGCCCAAUAUUUCCUUUUUAUUGGGACCCAGUUGUGCUAAAAUCUCUACAGAAACAUAAUAAGGGAUCAGCUCCUGCACCAAAGAGCUAGUUUAAACAAGCAAGGUGCCCAAGGUCAGUAGAAAACCAAGAACGAAGCCAAAGGCAAUAGGCUCCUAGGGCAAUACCUCAAAUUGGGGCAGGGGCAGCCCGUGUGAGGCAUGAGACAAGCUGGGGAGGAUAUAGGUGGCACCGGGCAGGGAGCAGAAAGCAGAGCAGCAGAUCAGGCAGGGGAAGGAGAUCAGAGUGGCACUUGGGCAGGGUGUGGGGCUGAUUUGUGGCACGCCUUCCAAAAGGGUUGCCAAUACCGUAAGUGCUAAGUGUCAAGCACCGCUCCGGUGCCCGGUCUCACCUGCGCGCCUUUCCCCGAAACCAUUCGCAGGAGCAGCAUUUUGAGCUGCGGAUGCAGUUGCAACACAAGAUGCCGAAGCCCCCGCUUCAGUACAACCGUCUGCUCAUCUCAUGCCAGUUGUAUUGUAUCCAUCCAUCUCCUGACUGCAUUUGUCAAAGAAAUACCAAGUUAUCACUUGCUAAAUCAAGCAUGACUUCAGUGUCUCAGAAUGAAGGGUUACUCAUCGUGUUUACUCUUUCCCUCCAGAUCGUCGCUUGGGUCUGCGCACAUCUAACCCAUCAUGCCAGCUAACCAAACCAUAUAAACCAAGGGGAAUGGCCUUCUCAUGUGCUAGAUGUGUUAGGUCAUGUAAACCCUUCCCAAGGGGUAUAAUUAGGGAGAACCACACCCGCCUUCCACAGGUCGAACUUGACACGGCUUGCAUGCCCACAACCCCCCAGUGACACCAGUAAACAGAUUGCAGUGGAGUCUGCCCGCAGGGCCGGGGUGGCAGCCCGGUGCCCCGUGCCAGGUUCCCGGGUUGGAGACAUGACAGCCAGCUGGGCCAUUCGCAUUUGCUGGGAAACCCUUGCCCUUAUUGCACUGACUGCACAGACCAAUUUAACACGGGACCUGAAGCAGCUUGUAUUACUGUACUAUUAAAUAUUGCUGGGGGGGAAAAAAUCUACAACUUUUCCGUUUAUUUCCAUUACAUUUUAGGAUUUCCUCUGACUUUUUUUUAGUGAAAAACCAAAGGGAAAAUAUAUUUGCUCCCUGCUCUCAAUUUUACAGGGUAAAGUGGAGCCCCAAAGCUGACCAAUUAUUUGGGGGAAGUGGGGGAGUGAUGGUUUUAAAUUUUUGGAUGAAAUAGAAAAAAAGACUGGCAAAGAAAAGGAAACAUCUGGGAGGAAGUCAUUUAGGGCAAAUAACAAAGGUUGCUUUUGCUUGGACCAUAUUUUUUACAUCUUUUUUUUGACCAGUUGUGAUCAUUGGGCUAAUUUAAUUGGGUAGUAGAAAGGGUAGCCCCAAUUCCCAAGGUUUCUUUCCUUAGGUCCCAGCCCAAGGUUUCUUUCCUUAGGUCCCAGCCCAAGGUUUCUUUCCUUAGGUCCCAGCCUUACUCUUUUCACAGUUUCAAGUUAUUUUGUUGAAUUAUUUCAGUGGUCUUCUGCUUUGCUCUGGUCUCUCAAUCUCGCUCAGGACACCAAUUCUUUCAAUGCGCCACAUUCACUGCUUCGGUUCUCAUGUUAUAAAUGAACAUCUCAGCUCUGUGGGCAAGGGGGCUGGGGACCAGAGGUGAGUUUAAGCCUGGGUUUGCAGCCCGAGCUUGGAAAUGGGGGCCUUUCUGGGUUUGAGAAAUUUUGAGGGGACAUUUAAUAGCAACCUUCAAGUCCCUGCAGGGUGGUGCGAAAGAGGAUGGAGCUGGACUGCUCUCAGGUGACAGAACAAGGAGCAACGGGAUCAAGUUGCAGCCUCAGGUUAGAGGAUAAACUUAUUCACUAGGAGGGUAGCAAAGCACUGGGCUACCCAGAGAGGUGAUGGCAUCUCCAUCCUUGGAGGUGUUGAAGACCCAGGUAGACAAAGCCUUGUCUGGGAUGAUGUAGUUGGGGCUGGUCCUGCUUGGAGCAGGGGUUGGACUAGAUGUGACCUCCUGAGCUCCCUUCCAACUGAAUUUUCUCUGAUUCUAGCAUAAUUGAAUGUCAAAAAACUUUCCAUCUCAAUCAGGACAUUUCAACCGGUUGAACAAUUCAAGUCAAGAUUUAGUAAGCUUCAGUGCUUUGACAGCAUCAGAGACAUAUUAACUAUGGCUUAGAUGGACGUCUGGUUUGGUCUAGCACAGAAAUGCCCGUGUUCUGGUUUUCUGUAUGUUUUCUUGUCUCAGACCAACAUGUGACACCCAUGUUCCUCUGUCAAACUUUUCAGCAUGUCUCUGAACUUUACUGUAAAAAGCGCCCACUGUUUAAGAGCUUCUCCACAUUUAAGGUCCCAAAGGGAUGACCUCUUAAGGCAACCAGCUUCAAAGGACAGCUCCUAGUUUCCUGCGUAUAUGUGGAGUUGAAUUUGAAUCCAGUCCAAAAUGAGGUGCCAGGGUUAGCUACAGCGGUGCAAGACACUGUUUUGAGCUGUCACGAGACGUCUACGGUGAGACAACUUCAUCAGCACAUCUACAAAUAACAGCAAUAAAUGAUUUACGUUUAAUGUUCUGAUUUACAGGUAAAAACAAAAAAAAAGGGCUAGGCAUGAGCUCAGAAAAAAAUGUACUCUUCAUUUAUUUUAUUUAAUAUUGUGUCCUCGUAAAAAAAUCCAAGGCAGCAUCCAAGGAGAAAAGUAAGGACCAUGCCAAGGGUGUUAAAUACCCAACUUACGUCAGUAAAGAACUUGCUCUUAAUCAACCAUCCACCUGAACUACCUGGGGGGAAAGAAGAAGUGUGUGGGAACAUGUUAGGACAGACCCGGAGAAGAACUGCCAUACAAACAGGAUGCCGGAAGACAGGCAACUUCGCUUCUCGGUUUCAAAAGCCACUUGUUAAAUGUCUCCUGCUGCAGCCCUCUCCUCCAAAACGCAGCCAAAAAUAUUCCUACUGAGCAAGUCCACCUCAUAGCGAGCGAAGUGCAAAAGGUUUCAUAGCCUAAUUAACUUACAACAUUCGUUUCUAAAUUAGCCUGCUUGGAAAUGUGAUCAGCACCAGUAAUUUUCCACUUCAUGACAUGCUUUAUAAUAAAUAAAAAAAAAAAAAUCAUAAAUAGCAAUAGCAUUAGAUCAUCUAGGCUUGAGAAUGAACCUCAGUCUCAAGUAUUGUACAGAAAAGAGGUUUUGCUAUGGUACAUCCCUAAAGCUCUAUGUUACAGUUUUGCCAUAAUUCAAUUAUUGCUUAUAAGAACUUCCACUUGGUCAAAAAAGAAGAAAAAAACAAUUAUAUAAUUCCAUUUCACUGUUUUCCAUAGGUUCAUCGCCAAGUUGGCUAAUAACUAAGGCAGAAAAAGGUAUGUAUUGUAUACUCACUUAAAGCUUGGCUUGAAAUGACCUUUUAUUGUCUAUUUUUUUUUUUUCCAUACCCAGCUUGGCUACUCCAAACCAACUCAUUGCCAACUUUCUACAGCCUGUUAUUUUCCUACAUGCUAUAUGUUAAAAACCAUUAUCGAGGCCGCCCCCCAAAUGUUCAACAACAUGUUUGCACGGACAAACGUAGAGAAGGCUGGGCUGUAAUCUGGACUGACUCCCUGCAAUCACCCAGGAACGCCCAGCUGCUAAUACCAAAAAUGACUAAUACUGUACCAAAAACCGCCUGUAUUUCACUUUCUCUUCUCCCUCCCAUUGCAAGGUAGCACAAUGCUGAAGGAGCCUUAAAAUGCACAAUUGCAACGAAUACAUCUGACUCUCUGCAUCCCCGUCCAGCCACUCUGGAGUCAGCCAUAUGAUGUUAAUAUAAACCUCCACUGUCAGAUUUUAGUGGCGCAGCUCAAUGAGGUGGCACUUGUCAUCAUCACUCACUGGGAGCCGUGGUCUUGUCUGCAACUCCUACAUGCUGCCGGCUCUCGCCUGCCUCCCUGGAUCAUUGCAAUGUGCUCCGCGCUGCUCGCGGGCAGAGCUGAGGCUCCUUCCUAAAAGAGGAGUCAAUCAGCGAGGGCAGAACUGAAAUCAGCUUCAGCGAAGCGUGUCAUUUUGUCUCCUAUUGAAAGAAAUGGCCCUUAUAUCCGUUAGAGUCUAUUAGGAUAAAAUGAUAAAGCAACGCAUCUGUAAUUAAAAAGACUUUUUUUUUUAAAAGCU